UUANACNUGCAAGUCGAACGAUGAACCACNUCGGUGGGGAUUAGUGGCGAACGGGUGAGUAACACGUGGGCAAUCUGCCCUUCACUCUGGGACAAGCCCUGGAAACGGGGUCUAAUACCGGAUAUCACUUCCACUCGCAUGGGUGGGGGUUGAAAGCUCCGGCGGUGAAGGAUGAGCCCGCGGCCUAUCAGCUUGUUGGUGAGGUAAUGGCUCACCAAGGCGACGACGGGUAGCCGGCCUGAGAGGGCGACCGGCCACACUGGGACUGAGACACGGCCCAGACUCCUACGGGAGGCAGCAGUGGGGAAUAUUGCACAAUGGGCGAAAGCCUGAUGCAGCGACGCCGCGUGAGGGAUGACGGCCUUCGGGUUGUAAACCUCUUUCAGCAGGGAAGAAGCGAAAGUGACGGUACCUGCAGAAGAAGCGCCGGCUAACUACGUGCCAGCAGCCGCGGUAAUACGUAGGGCGCAAGCGUUGUCCGGAAUUAUUGGGCGUAAAGAGCUCGUAGGCGGUCUGUCACGUCGGAUGUGAAAGCCCGGGGCUUAACCCCGGGUCUGCAUUCGAUACGGGCAGACUAGAGUGUGGUAGGGGAGAUCGGAAUUCCUGGUGUAGCGGUGAAAUGCGCAGAUAUCAGGAGGAACACCGGUGGCGAAGGCGGAUCUCUGGGCCAUUACUGACGCUGANGAGCGAAAGCGUGGGGAGCGAACAGGAUNGAUACCCUGGUAGUCCCGCCGUAACGGUGGGAACUAGGUGUUGGCGAAUUNCACGUCGUCGGUGCCGCA
rnacentral:rRNA from 1 species